AUUGAACGCUGGCGGCAGGCCUAACACAUGCAAGUCGAACGAGUGGCGGACGGGUGAGUAAUGUCUGGGAAACUGCCUGAUGGCGGGGGAUAACUACUGGAAACGGUAGCUAAUACCGCAUACCAUCAGAUGUGCCCAGAUGGGAUUGGCUUGUUGGUGGGGUAAAGGCUCACCAAGGCGACGAUCCCUAGCUGGUCUGAGAGGAUGGCCAGCCACGCUGGAACUAAGGAACGGGCCAGACUCCUACGGGAGGCGGAAGUGGGGAAUAUUGCGCAGUGGGCGGAAGCCUGAUGCAGGCAUGCCGCGUGAAUGAAGAGGGACUUCGAGUUGUAAAGUACUUUCAGCGGGGAGGCGUUACCCGCAGAAGAAGCACCGGCUGACUCCGUGCCAACAGCCGCGGUAAUUC
rnacentral:rRNA from 1 species